rnacentral:rRNA from 1 species
AUUGAACGCUGGCGGCAGGCCUAACACAUGCAAGUCGAGCGGAUGAAGGGAGCUUGCUCCUGGAUUCAGCGGCGGACGGGUGAGUAAUGCCUAGGAAUCUGCCUGGUAGUGGGGGAUAACGUCCGGAAACGGGCGCUAAUACCGCAUACGUCCUGAGGGAGAAAGGGGGGGAUCUUCGGACCUCACGCUAUCAGAUGAGCCUAGGUCGGAUUAGCUAGUUGGUGGGGUAAAGGCCUACCAAGGCGACGAUCCGUAACUGGUCUGAGAGGAUGAUCAGUCACACUGGAACUGAGACACGGUACAGACUCCUACGGGAGGCAGCAGUGGGGAAUAUUGGACAAUGGGCGAAAGCCUGAUCCAGCCAUGCCGCGUGUGUGAAGAAGGUCUUCGGAUUGUAAAGCACUUUAAGUUGGGAGGAAGGGCAGUAAGUUAAUACCUUGCUGUUUUGACGUUACCAACAGAAUAAGCACCGGCUAACUUCGUG